GGCGGAGCCGAUGGAGCCGGCGGCGCAGCACACAACGCCGUGCGGGACCGCGAGCUGGGCCUGCGGGUCAAUGGAGAAGUGUCCUGGGUGAGGAUCAGCAACAACAAAGAAGUCGGAGGGACGGGCAGCUGUCUGUUCAGCCGAUCAGAAGGUGACUUAGGAAGAACGGGAAGAGCCGCUGCCUUGGGGAUGAGAAGGAUAUAAAAUGCCUGUCAUCCAGAAACUGGGUGCGACCUUAGACCAGUUCGAUGCCAUUGAUUUUUCUGACAAUGAAAUGCGGAAACUGGACGGCCUCCCUCGCUGAGGAGACUGAAGACCCUCCUGGUGAACAACCACAGGAUAUGGGUGACCUGGACCCGCUGGCGUCGCUCAAGUCGCUGACCUCCCUGAGGUAGGAGAUGACCCGGUGACAGUGAGUCCCUUACAACUCCCUGCCCGGCCUCGACCUAAACAGCCAGUGAGGACAAAGGAAUGCUGAAUGGAACUUCAAACGGAAAAGCAUAGCGCGGGGCAGCUGCAUUCCCGAUAGUGACCCGGGCACCUACGUCGACUCUCGGGGCUGAUCCGAAGCGGGCAGUGCCACCCCACCUUCAGGACCCCCAUCCCCGGUGUGCAGGUACAGGAUACAGCCGAUUCUCACCGUCGAUGUCUAUCCCUCACCCGGAAAUCAAUAAAAAUUCUUUUAGAGAU